UACAGAGGGCUCAAGCGUUGUUCGGAUUCAUUGGGCGUAAAGGGUGCGUAGGCGGCGCGGUAAGUCGGGUGUGAAAUCUUGGAGCUUAACUGCGAAACUGCAUUCGAUACUGCCGUGCUUGAGGACUGGAGAGGAGACUGGAAUUUACGGUGUAGCGGUGAAAUGCGUAGAUAUCGUAAGGAAGACCAGUGGCGAAGGCGGGUCUCUGGACAGUUCCUGACGCUGAGGCACGAAGGCGAGGGGAGCAAACGGG
rnacentral:rRNA from 1 species